UGGGGUGGUGGUGUUGAAGGUGGCGUGCGGGUGACGACCGAUCGAGAGGGCAACGAGGGUGGAGGAUGAGGAUUGGGUGCUGGUGGAGUGGGUGAGGGAGAUGUAUGCGGAGGGGCAACUGAUGGAGGUGGUGGAGAAAGGGAUGGAGUUCUGAGAGGAGGAGAUGGAGUUGGUGCUCAAGUUGGGUUUGGCCUACUGUC
rnacentral:lncRNA from 1 species